rnacentral:rRNA from 1 species
UGGGGAAUAUUGCACAAUGGGGGAAACCCUGAUGCAGCAACGCCGCGUGAGUGAUGAAGGUUUUCGGAUCGUAAAGCUCUGUCUUUGGGGAAGAUAAUGACGGUACCCAAGGAGGAAGCCACGGCUAACUACGCGCCAG